rnacentral:rRNA from 1 species
GACGAACGCUGGCGGCAUGCCUAACACAUGCAAGUCGAACGAGACCUUCGGGUCUAGUGGCGCACGUGUGCGUAACGCGUGGGAACCUGCCCUUAGGUUCGGAAUAACUCCCCGAAGGGGGUGCUAAUACCGGUUAAUGUCUUCGGACCAAAGAUUUAUCGCCUUUGGAUGGGCCCGCGUUGGAUUAGCUAGUUGGUAGGGUAAAAGCCUACCAAGGCGACGAUCCAUAGCUGGUCUGAGAGGAUGAUCAGCCACACUGGGACUGAGACACGGCCCAGACUCCUACGGGAGGGAGCAGUGGGGAAUAUUGGACAAGGGGCGAAAGUCUGAUCCAGCAAUGCCGCGUGAGUGAUGAAGGCCGUAGGGUUGUAAAGCUCUUUUAGCCGGGAUGAUAAUGACAGUACCGGGAGAAGAAGCACCGGCUAACUACGUG